GGGCGUAAAGGGCUCCGCAGGCGGUUUUCUUAAGUCUGAUGUGAAAGCCCCCGGCUCAACCGGGGAGGGUCAUUGGAAACUGGGGAACUUGAGUGCAGAAGAGGAGAGUGGAAUUCCACGUGUAGCGGUGAAAUGCGUAGAGAUGUGGAGGAACACCAGUGGCGAAGGCGACUCUCUGGUCUGUAACUGACGCUGAGGAGCGAAAGCGUGGGGAGCGAACAGGAUUAGAUACCCUGGUAGUCCACGCCGUAAACGAUGAGUGCUAAGUGUUAGGGGGUUUCCGCCCCUUAGUGCUGCAGCUAACGCAUUAAGCACUCCGCCUGGGGAGUACGGUCGCAAGACUGAAACUCAAAGGAAUUGACGGGGGCCCGCACAAGCGGUGGAGCAUGUGGUUUAAUUCGAAGCAACGCGAAGAACCUUACCAGGUCUUGACAUCCUGGGACAAUCCUAGAGAUAGGACGUCCCCUUCGGGGGCAGAGUGACAGGUGGUGCAUGGUUGUCGUCAGCUCGUGUCGUGAGAUGUUGCGUUAAGUCCCGCAACGAGCGCAACCCUUGAUCUUAAUUGCCAACAUUCAGCUGGGCACUCUACGGUGACUGCCGGUG
rnacentral:rRNA from 1 species